rnacentral:rRNA from 1 species
UACGUAGGUGGCAAGCGUUGUCCGGAUUUACUGGGCGUAAAGAGCGCGCAGGCGGUCGUUCAAGUCGCGUGUGAAAGCCCCCGGCUCAACUGGGGAGGGUCACGCGAUACUGAUCGACUCGAAGGCAGGAGAGGGAAGUGGAAUUCCCGGUGUAGUGGGUGAAAUGCGUAGAUAUCGGGGAGGAACACCAGUGGCGAAGGCGGCUCACUGGACUGGUAUUGACGCUGAGGUGCGAAAGCGUGGGGAGCAAACAGG